GAUGAAGAACGCAGCGAAAUGCGAUAAGUAAUGCGAAUUGCAGAAUUCAGUGAGUCAUCGAAUCUUUGAACGCACAUUGCGCCAUGUGGUAUUCCGCAGGGCAUGCCUGUUCGAGCGUCAUUUCAACCCUCAAGCUCUGCUUGGUGUUGGGCCACGCCCCCGCGGCCGGCCCCAAAGCUAGUGGCGGUGCCGUCUGGCUCUAAGCGUAGUACAUCUCUCGCUCUAGGGCCCGGCGGUUGCUUGCCAGAACCCACACUCUUAUGGUUGACCUCGGAUCAGGUAGGGAUACCCGCUGAACUUAAGCAUAUCAAUAAGCGGAGGA
rnacentral:misc_RNA from 1 species